rfam:Aureococcus anophagefferens unplaced genomic scaffold ATRANscaffold_5, whole genome shotgun sequence.
GCGCGCUUGGCCGAGCGGUCUAAGGCGAUGGAUUUAAGCCCCAUUAUCUUCGGAUGCGUGGGUUCAAACCCCACAGUGCGCA